AUGGAACAUUUCAUUCUACCUCCGGAAUACAACAAAGUCGAUGAAUUCGGUAACGAGGUUCCGGGUGGACGUCAGAGGAGGAGGCUAGUUAAAGAGUUCGCUCUUCAGAAGAUGGGCGAAGCAUUCCGGAACUUCAAGAAAAAUUUAACCCGUGACUAUGUCAACAAGGGCAAGACUCCGGAUUUCAAUGGACAACAUGAGAAACUGAAAGAUGAUUGGCCAGAAUUUGUGAGGAAAAAGCAAUCGGAGCAUUUCAAGGAAAUAUCGAAAAAAAAUAAGGAUAAUGCGAGUAAGAAAAAGUUCCAUCAUAUUAUGGGGCCAGGAGGAUACCGCCUUUCGGAGCCUAGGUGGCAGAAGAUGGAGGAGGACCUGAGGGUGCGAGGAAUCCCUCUAGGUACAGAGGGAUGGGACCCAAGGGCCAAAAGCUGGUGGUACGGGCAUGGGGGAUCACUAGACCCGGAGACAGGGGUGUGUGUUCACCGGCAGAGACAGUUUGCUCCCACCCAAGCCCUUAUUGACGCAAUGACCCAAGCUCAAGAGGGCUUGAUCAAGUUCAACAGAGAGAAAGACGCACUGACAAUAGCCCUCGGGAAUGAUGAACACGGAGGACGUGUACGAGGCAAAGGCAAAGUUCCGUGGAAAGUAGGGUUUUCCCAGGACAAUGACCCGUACUGUUACAGAAGCCGUAAGAGAAAGACGGACCGGGAUGCAGAUCUUAUGACGAAGUUUGCAUCGGAACUCCAUGAGUUGAAGCAGACCGUGCAUGAACUAGUAAAAGAAAAAUCGGCUGCAGGGCCGCAUGAAGAUCAUGAAGCGGAUCGCGGAAGCCAGCAGCGGAGAAGCAGUGUGGCUUCCACGGAUGCCCCGCCUGGUGCUAGUGCACCGAUGAUCGAGAUUCGUGCACCGGAGCCUCACUACCCCGUGGAUGAUGUAAAGGAGAUGAAAGAAUGUGAUCUGCAUUAUCCCGUGGGGAACGUUUCCACGAAGGUAGCUAGCGGCAGUGCUUUACCCUGUACACCUGGAGCACUCCACCACAACAACCCCAUUGCAUAUGGCUAUGCUCGUGUCACGGUGGAAGACAUAGUCCAAGGGUUUGAGGACCUGGAGAUUGACAAACCUACACCCGAAGGGGAGAGCAGACUUGGAGAUGUCAAGCGCCAGUUCAUUCUAUGGAAAAAGAAGUACAUAGUGUUUCCAGACGAGGCACCAAGGCUAGCAAGUCCACCCCCCUCCGAUGGUGGUGGUGGUGGUGGUGGCGGCGGUGGCGGUGGUGGUGGUCGUGGUGGUUCACCUACACCUCCUUCACGCCAUUCGACGCCGUCCCCCGAUCCACAACCUCCGGCGGGUACGACGCCCCCCAAUCCUCCUCCGGCGGGUACGACGCCCCCCAAUCCACCUCCGGCGAAGAAGCAGAAGCAGGCGGACAGCAAGGAAACCCGCUCCUGGACUAUUAACCCGGACCCUUAUGUACCUAAGACCACAAGGGUACCGGAGCCAUCACUGAAGCCUCUCCUCCCAAGGCCUGGGGAACUUAGUGAAGCUGAAACCAAAUUGGCCGCGUCUGCUGAUUAUGAGAAAUGGAAGGCGGAUAUGAAGGCGAUAAAAGAGCCUGAGCCCAAGCAAGUAUUCACUGAGAAGCAAAAGAAGUGGGCUAAGGAUUUUUUGACGACACCGUCCCAAGCCGAGCUGAAUAUGCCUGACGACUAUGGACAUGAACUUCGUAGGCAAGCAAAAAUAUUGAAGGAGGAGAAAGAAGAAAGUAAAAAAAGCGGGAAACAAGUUGACCAGCUCGGGAUGCAGAAGAAACAAUCGAUCCCCCGCUCAUAG
rnacentral:rRNA from 1 species